UACGUAGGGUGCAAGCGUUGUCCGGAAUUAUUGGGCGUAAAGAGCUCGUAGGCGGCUUGUCACGUCGACUGUGAAAACCCGGGGCUCAACUCCGGGCUUGCGGGCGAUACGGGCAGGCUAGAGUUCGGUAGGGGAGACUGGAAUUCCUGGUGUAGCGGUGAAAUGCGCAGAUAUCAGGAGGAACACCGGUGGCGAAGGCGGGUCUCUGGGCCGAUACUGACGCUGAGGAGCGAAAGCGUGGGGAGCGAACAGG
rnacentral:rRNA from 1 species